rnacentral:misc_RNA from 1 species
GAUGAAGAACGCAGCGAAAUGCGAUAACUAAUGUGAAUUGCAGAAUUCAGUGAAUCAUCGAAUCUUUGAACGCACAUUGCGCCCCCUGGCAUUCCGGGGGGCAUGCCUGUCCGAGCGUCAUUUCUGCCCUCCAGCCCGGCUGGGUGUUGGGCGCUGUCCCCCCGGGGACACGCCCCAAAGGCAGUGGCGGCGCCGCGUCGGGUCCUCGAGCGUAUGGGGCUUUGUCACCCGCUCGGGACGGACUCGUCGGCGCUGGUCUUCCUCCAGGCGACCCUUCGGGGCUCGUCUUCCUUCGGUUGACCUCGGAUCAGGUAGGGUUACCCGCUGAACUUAAGCAUAUCAAUAAGCGGAGGA